UCUGCCGCGUGAUGAUCCGGGAUCACCGCUGGCUAAAAUCACCCGCCCUGACCAUCGCGCCUCCGCCGCGAGCUGCGGCCCCCGCGCUCGGCGCCCCCUCGCCUCCCACCCCUGCGCUGCCGUGACUCCGGCCGCCCGCCGCGGUGCCGCCAUCCUCCACGCGUAGCCCAACCUCUCCACCUCGCUCCGCCCCCGCGCUCAAGAAACGCCGCGUCGGCCUCCGCCGCGCUCGGCCCCCGCGCUCCAUGCCCGCUGCGACCCCGCGCCCCAGAACCACCGGGGCUGCCCCUGCAUCCACCUCGCUCGCCGACUCCGCCCAAGCAUCAUCCGGGUGGACCUCGCCGGAUGAGUGCAGGAGGACGUGUGGCGAUGGAGUGCACUCGCCGAGAAGUUUGCGAUGUGUGAUGUGGCUAGAGCCAAGAGGCUAGGAUCGUCCCAGCAUUGGUAGUGCAGAUGCCAACAAGGUUUCAGCCCAAGGGAUCUAGAGGAGGCUAGACUUGCUGAGUUCGUAUAGAUCAGAUCAUCUUUACAUGCCUUCCACAUAAACGUUUAAUGUUGGAUGCAGAUAUUCAGUUAUACUCGCACAACAUCUAUCACACGCUUAAUGCCAUCAGUGAGCCAGCUUCCAAUUGUGAAAUCUGGGACUCUAGGGCGAAUAGCCAUGACCAGUGACGAUGGGGCCUAGAGGGUCACUCAGAGGUCAAUUUGAUGGCGGUAAGCUCUAGCUGCAUAUUUAGUUAGGUUCAUGCUUUUCCCUCCAAAGGGUUCAGAAUAGAGAAAUAAUAUUGUAACCUCAAAAUAUUCUUCUGAUGUUUGAUGAAAAGAACAUUUGGUGUUUGAUGAAAAGAACAUUGCUCAGUGACAGUAUGUGUGUUUUCUUUGUAAUCAAUUCGAAGAAGAUUUUAGAAAAUUGAACUCUAAGCUACUAUAGAUGCUAGGCAUGCUAGACUGAUUUGGCUCGUGGAUAUGUGAUGCAUUUUACAGCAAUGCUACCAUGGUAGGAGUGAAAGAAGGAUUACAUAGGUACGCUGAAAUGGUUUCUCUCUUAAGUUGGAAAUGUGGGAGUAAAUGAAUGUGGUUUUCAAGCUUUAAGAAUGUCCUAGCUAUAGCCGGUAAUCUAUAGCUAAUAUAUUAUUUGUCAAUUAUGAAUCCUCUAUUGUUUAUGAUUCAAAUUUAUUUUGCUGUGAAACAUUAAAUAUUAAUCACUGAAGCUGCUAAAAUGGACUCUGCACUUGUUGUAUCAGCUCCUCAUGUCCCUAUCUACAAACAAUAAUGGAGCUCCAAGUCAUGAUGCAGAAUGCAUCUGACUUGAGUGGCGCUACUACUUUGGUUUGUUCUGUGCUGCAGGCUUGUCGGGUGUGAUCCCUAUAUUUGUUUACGAUAUGCAUUCAUCUGUUAUUUAUUGCUUGUCCAUUCCAACGAUGUGGUUGUGGGGCUUUUAGAAUGGAAAGGUUUGUGGAGUAGAGUUUGCUGACGAGUUGGAUGAUAAGAAAGUUAUCAUGCGAGGAAUUGCACUUUGGUUUGGCUAUGCUAAACUGAAAUUAGGAGUGCUGGUGUGAGAAAUGAAGGGUACCUCCUAGGAUUAAAAGGUACUAGCAUAAUAUUGUUGCUUGUUUUGAAGGGAUAAUGACAUCAACACUUGCAGCUUGGGAAGGAGUUAAAAGAUUAUUGCAAUGACUCAUGGCUACAACAAGUAAGUCUGAUCAAUCUUUGGCCUUGUUGAUGCUUGAUGUAUGUCAUCAAGUAAGCGCUUCGUUGGUUCUGAAGUGAAGCUUUUACCUUUAUAUGUCAUUCUCAGUUCAUUUUUCAGUAUCUAAUGAUAGUUCUUUUCUUUUCCACUUGUUAUCUGAAAUUAAUGGUAUGGAUGAUCAGGCUGGCAAGGUGCGCUGACCUUCUUCUCCAUUUAAUCUGCCAAGGAGUGUCGUCUAGCAUCGCUCCAUUUAAUGAUGAAUCAUGCCUAGAUAUUAGGCUAUUGAUUAAAAUAAUACUGGAAGCUUUUAUUUGAAACAGUACGUGUCUGAAAGUGUGGGCAGUCUAAUUAUGAAUGAAAUUCUCAGGAUCGGAAACAAUUUA